UUAAAUGGCCGCAGUAAUUUGACUGUGCAAAGGUAGCAUAAUCAUUAGUUUUUUAAUUAAAAGCUAGAAUGAAAGGUUGGACGAGGUAAAAUCUGUCUCUAUUUAAUAUUAAAUUAAAAUUUAAUUUUUAAGUAAAAAAGCUUAAAUAUUAUUGAAAGACGAGAAGACCCUAUAGAACUUUAUAUAAAUUUAUAUUUAAUAAAUUUUGAAUUAUUUAUUUUAUUUAUAUAUUUAUAUUUUAUUGGGGUAAUAAAAAGAUUAAAAUAAUUCUUUUUUAUAAUUUUUAUUAAUUUAUAUUUUUUAUUGAUCCAUUAUUAAUGAUUAUAAGAUUAAGUUACCUUAGGGAUAACAGCGUAAUUUUUUUAGAGAGUUCAUAUCGAUAAAAAAGUUUGCGACCUCGAUGUUGGAUUAAAGAUUAAUUUAGGUGUAGAAGUUUAAAUUUUUGGUCUGUUCGACCAUUGAAUCUUUACAUGAUCUGAGUUCAAACCGGCGUAAGCCAGGUUGGUUUCUAUCUUCAAUUAAAUUUAAAUAUUUUAGUACGAAAGGACCAAGUAUUUUAUAUAUUUAUAUAUUUAUUUUUGAAUAUUAUUAAAUUUAUUACUUUGGCAGAUAAGUGUAAUGAAUUUAGAAUUCAUAAAUAUAAAAUUAUAUUUUAUAAGUAAUACUUGUUUUUUAUAGAUUUAAUAUUUUCAUUAAUUUGUAUAUUAUUAAUAGUAGUUUGUGUUUUAGU
rnacentral:rRNA from 1 species